AGAGUUUGAUCCUGGCUCAGAUUGAACGCUGGCGGAAUGCUUUACACAUGCAAGUCGAACGGCAGCACGGGAGCUUGCUCCUGGUGGCGAGUGGCGAACGGGUGAGUAAUGCGUCGGAACGUACCGAGUAAUGGGGGAUAACGCAGCGAAAGCUGUGCUAAUACCGCAUACGCCCUGAGGGGGAAAGUGGGGGACCGCAAGGCCUCACGUUAUUCGAGCGGCCGACGUCUGAUUAGCUAGUUGGUGGGGUAAUGGCCCACCAAGGCGACGAUCAGUAGCGGGUCUGAGAGGAUGAUCCGCCACACUGGAACUGAGACACGGUCCAGACUCCUACGGGAGGCAGCAGUGGGGAAUUUUGGACAAUGGGGGCAACCCUGAUCCAGCCAUUCCGCGUGAGUGAAGAAGGCCUUCGGGUUGUAAAGCUCUUUCAGCUGGAAAGAAACGGUACGCACUAACAUUGCGUGCUAAUGACGGUACCAGCAGAAGAAGCACCGGCUAACUACGUGCCAGCAGCCGCGGUAAUACGUAGGGUGCGAGCGUUAAUCGGAAUUACUGGGCGUAAAGCGUGCGCAGGCGGAUUGUUAAGCAAGAUGUGAAAUCCCCGGGCUUAACCUGGGAAUGGCAUUUUGAACUGGCAGUCUAGAGUGCGUCAGAGGGGGGUGGAAUUCCACGUGUAGCAGUGAAAUGCGUAGAUAUGUGGAGGAACACCAAUGGCGAAGGCAGCCCCCUGGGAUGACACUGACGCUCAUGUACGAAAGCGUGGGUAGCAAACAGGAUUAGAUACCCUGGUAGUCCACGCCCUAAACGAUGUCAACUGGUUGUUGGGGGAGUGAAAUCCCUUAGUAACGAAGCUAACGCGUGAAGUUGACCGCCUGGGGAGUACGGUCGCAAGAUUAAAACUUAAAUGAAUUGACGGGGGC
rnacentral:rRNA from 1 species